rnacentral:tRNA from 1 species
GUCCCUGUAGCGCCAUGGAUAACGCAUUGGACUUCUAAUCCAAAGCUCGUGGACUCGAAUCCCACCUGGGAUG